CACAAUGUUGCAAGCAUAAGCCAAUGUGCAACAAUGCGCCCAGUGUGGGCGUAACAAAUGCCAGUAGCUGAACUGGCCGGCCAAAGUUGUACUCUUUUCAGCGUGCUCGUGAGCACCUAAUGGCAACAUCGGUUUGCUUGUGCCCUGCUAAUUACCUGUGAAUGGCCUUCAAGCAAAAGGAGCUAACUGCGUGUGUUUCCUUUUAAAAUCUAAAUGUACAAAUGCAUGUUUGUUGUUAUUGUUUUGCAUUGUUGAAAUCUCGAGCCGCGGGGCGUAAAGGCGUGCACCGUAAGUAGCCACAAUUGCAGCAGCAACGACAGCGGCACAACCUCGGUGGUCGCAAUAAGUGUACGUGUAUGUUGUGACAGCAAAAACAACAACUUUUAACAACUUAAUAAAUAUCAAUGUCUCCUGCCAUCUAUCAGAAGAAUGUUGAUGUAAAAUGAGGUACGAGUAUUAUUAUCUUACGGAUACACUCUAGAGUAAGUAAAAAGAGAGCAACAGCACUACUCGACCAAUUUGAUAAGUCAAUUUUGGCCACAUCCUGAAUAGAGGAAAAAAUGUAGUGCAAUAUAAAUUUCAAGGUUUAAGAAAGGUUUUUCGGAUGUCUCCCAUUUGAAGAAUGAAAAUACUUGACAUGACUAAGUUCAUGAUUGCGAAAGGUUAUAACUUUUUUAAGGUCUACUGAUUAAAUUUAAUCUUUAUUUUGUGACAAUGUCACCCCAUUUUGGACUUUU